rnacentral:rRNA from 1 species
AGACCCGAAACCCGGUGAUCUAGCCAUGGGCAGGUUGAAGGUUGGGUAACACUAACUGGAGGACCGAACCGACUAAUGUUGAAAAAUUAGCGGAUGACCUGUGGCUGGGGGUGAAAGGCCAAUCAAACCGGGAGAUAGCUGGUUCUCCCCGAAAGCUAUUUAGGUAGCGCCUCGUGAAUUCAUCUCCGGGGGUAGAGCACUGUUUCGGCUAGGGGGCCAUCCCGGCUUACCAACCCGAUGCAAACUGCGAAUACCGGAGAAUGUUAUCACGGGAGACACACGGCGGGUGCUAACGUCCGUCGUGAAGAGGGAAACAACCCAGACCGCCAGCUAAGGUCCCAAAGUCAUGGUUAAGUGGGAAACGAUGUGGGAAGGCCCAGACAGCCAGGAUGUUGGCUUAGAAGCAGCCAUCAUUUAAAGAAAGCGUAAUAGCUCACUGGUCGAGUCGGCCUGCGCGGAAGAUGUAACGGGGCUAAACCAUGCACCGAAGCUGCGGCAGCGAACGUAUCACCCAAGACAACUUUACGGAGUUGACGAUUGACGGAGCGAAGCGACGUCAAAGCGUUCAUUAAAGUCGAGUUGGCUUAGGGAUACGUUCGUUGGGUAGGGGAGCGUUCUGUAAGCCUGUGAAGGUGUGUCGUGAGGCAUGCUGGAGGUAUCAGAAGUGCGAAUGCUGACAUAAGUAACGAUAAAGCGGGUGAAAAGCCCGCUCGCCGGAAGACCAAGGGUUCCUGUCCAACGUUAAUCGGGGCAGGGUGAGUCGACCCCUAAGGCGAGGCCGAAAGGCGUAGUCGAUGGGAAACGGGUUAAUAUUCCCGUACUUGGUGUUACUGCGAAGGGGGGACGGAGAAGGCUAUGUUGGCCGGGCGACGGUUGUCCCGGUUUAAGCGUGUAGGUGUGUGUUCCAGGUAAAUCCGGUUCACUUUAACACUGAGGCGUGACGACGAGGCACUACGGUGCUGAAGCAACAAAUGCCCUGCUUCCAGGAAAAGCCUC